rnacentral:lncRNA from 1 species
UCCUGUGGGGUGGGGGGGACACACACACACACACAAGGGUGUUUUUGGGGUCCCCUUUCGUGGUUUGAGGGGGGGGACCCAAGUGUCUGGGCACCCAGCACCCCCAUUUCCAGGGGUCCCAGACACCCCCAUUUCCAGGGGACCCAGGCAUUUGGGGGCACCCAGCACCCCCAUUUCCAGGGCACCCAGGGGCCAGGGCACCCCAUUUUCCAGGGGACCCAGGGGUCUGGGCACCCCCUUUUCCAAGGGACCCAGACACCCCCAUUCCCAAGGGACCCAGACACCCCAAUUCCCAGGGCACCCACACAUCGGGGCACCCCCUUUUCCAAGGGACCCAGGGGUCCAGGAACCCCCUUUUCCAAGGGACCCAGACACCCCCAUUCCCAAGGGACCCAGACACCCCAAUUCCCAGGGCACCCACACAUCGGGGCACCCCCUUUUCCAAGGGACCCAGGGGUCCAGGAACCCCCUUUUCCAAGGGACCCAGACACCCCCAUUCCCAAGGGACCCAGACACCCCAAUUCCCAGGGCACCCACACAUCGGGGCACCCCCUUUUCCAAGGGACCCAGGGGUCCAGGAACCCCCUUUUCCAAGGGACCCAGACACCCCCAUUCCCAAGGGACCCAGACACCCCAAUUCCCAGGGCACCCACACAUCGGGGCACCCCCUUUUCCAAGGGACCCAGGGGUCCAGGAACCCCCUUUUCCAAGGGACCCAGACACCCCCAUUCCCAGGGGACCCUGGCAUUUGGAACCCCCAUUCACCCCCUUUCCCAAGGGACCCAGACACCCCAAUUCCGAGGGCACCCAGGUUUCUGGGCACCCCCUUUUCCAAGGGACCCAGACACCCCAAUUCCGAGGGCACCCAGAUAUCUGGGCACCCCCUUUUCCAAGGGACCCAGAUACCCCCAUUUCCAGGGCACCCAGGCAUCUAGGGGCACCCAGCACCCCAUUUUCCAAGGGACCCAGGCGUCUGGGCACCCCCUUUUCCAAGGGGUUCAGACACCCCCUUUUCCAGGGGACCCAGACACCCCCAUUUCCAGGGGACCCAGGGAUCUGGGGGCACCCAGCACCCCCUUUUCCAAGGGACCCAGACACCCCAAUUCCGAGGGCACCCAGAUAUCUGGGCACCCCCUUUUCCAAGGGACCCAGAUACCCCCAUUUCCAGGGCACCCAGGCAUCUAGGGGCACCCAGCACCCCAUUUUCCAAGGGACCCAGGCGUCUGGGCACCCCCUUUUCCAAGGGGUUCAGACACCCCCUUUUCCAGGGGACCCAGACACCCC